CAAUCACUUGUCUUUUAAAUGGAGACCUGUAUGAAAGGCACCACGAGGGCUUAACUGUCUCCCCUUUAAAGUCAAUGAAAUUGAUCUCCCCGUGCAGAAGCGGGGAUUGCCUCGUAAGACGAGAAGACCCUAUGGAGCUUAAGACACAAAGCGGCCCACGUCAAGUACCCUAAUUUGAAGCAAUAAACAAAGUGUUAUACCCGCCAGAAUGUCUUUGGUUGGGGCGACCGCGGGGAAAGAAAAAACCCCCACGUGGACCGGGGCUACAUGCCCUAAAACCAAGAUCCACAGAUCAAAGCAACAGAAAUUCUGACCAUCAAAGAUCCGGCAAUGCCGAUCAACGGACCGAGUUACCCUAGGGAUAACAGCGCAAUCCCCUCCCAGAGCCCA
rnacentral:rRNA from 1 species